rnacentral:rRNA from 1 species
AGCGUACACGGUGGAUGCCCUGGCAGUCAGAGGCGAUGAAGGACGUGCUAAUCUGCGAUAAGCGUCGGUGAGGUGAUAUGAACCGUUAUAACCGGCGAUUUCCGAAUGGGGAAACCCAGUGUGUUUCGACACACUAUCAUUAACUGAAUCCAUAGGUUAAUGAGGCGAACCGGGGGAACUGAAACAUCUAAGUACCCCGAGGAAAAGAAAUCAACCGAGAUUCCCCCAGUAGCGGCGAGCGAACGGGGAGGAGCCCAGAGCCUGAAUCAGUGUGUGUGUUAGUGGAAGCGUCUGGAAAGGCGCGCGAUACAGGGUGACAGCCCCGUACACAAAAAUGCACAUACUGUGAGCUCGAUGAGUAGGGCGGGACACGUGGUAUCCUGUCUGAAUAUGGGGGGACCAUCCUCCAAGGCUAAAUACUCCUGACUGACCGAUAGUGAACCAGUACCGUGAGGGAAAGGCGAAAAGAACCCCGGCGAGGGGAGUGAAAAAGAACCUGAAACCGUGUACGUACAAGCAGUGGGAGCCUCUUAAUGGGGUGACUGCGUACCUUUUGUAUAAUGGGUCAGCGACUUAUAUUCUGUAGCAAGGUUAACCGAAUAGGGGAGCCGAAGGGAAACCGAGUCUUAACUGGGCGUUAAGUUGCAGGGUAUAGACCCGAAACCCGGUGAUCUAGCCAUGGGCAGGUUGAAGGUUGGGUAACACUAACUGGAGGACCGAACCGACUAAUGUUGAAAAAUUAGCGGAUGACUUGUGGCUGGGGGUGAAAGGCCAAUCAAACCGGGAGAUAGCUGGUUCUCCCCGAAAGCUAUUUAGGUAGCGCCUCGUGAAUUCAUCUCCGGGGGUAGAGCACUGUUUCGGCAAGGGGGUCAUCCCGACUUACCAACCCGAUGCAAACUGCGAAUACCGGAGAAUGUUAUCACGGGAGACACACGGCGGGUGCUAACGUCCGUCGUGAAGAGGGAAACAACCCAGACCGCCAGCUAAGGUCCCAAAGUCAUGGUUAAGUGGGAAACGAUGUGGGAAGGCCCAGACAGCCAGGAUGUUGGCUUAGAAGCAGCCAUCAUUUAAAGAAAGCGUAAUAGCUCACUGGUCGAGUCGGCCUGCGCGGAAGAUGUAACGGGGCUAAACCAUGCACCGAAGCUGCGGCAGCGACGCUUAUGCGUUGUUGGGUAGGGGAGCGUUCUGUAAGCCUGUGAAGGUGGCCUGUGAGGGUUGCUGGAGGUAUCAGAAGUGCGAAUGCUGACAUAAGUAACGAUAAAGCGGGUGAAAAGCCCGCUCGCCGGAAGACCAAGGGUUCCUGUCCAACGUUAAUCGGGGCAGGGUGAGUCGACCCCUAAGGCGAGGCCGAAAGGCGUAGUCGAUGGGAAACAGGUUAAUAUUCCUGUACUUGGUGUUACUGCGAAGGGGGGACGGAGAAGGCUAUGUUGGCCGGGCGACGGUUGUCCCGGUUUAAGCGUGUAGGCUGGUUUUCCAGGCAAAUCCGGAAAAUCAAGGCUGAGGCGUGAUGACGAGGCACUACGGUGCUGAAGCGACAAAUGCCCUGCUUCCAGGAAAAGCCUCUAAGCAUCAGGUAACAUUAAAUCGUACCCCAAACCGACACAGGUGGUCAGGUAGAGAAUACCAAGGCGCUUGAGAGAACUCGGGUGAAGGAACUAGGCAAAAUGGUGCCGUAACUUCGGGAGAAGGCACGCUGAUAUGUAGGUGAAGCGACUUGCUCGUGGAGCUGAAAUCAGUCGAAGAUACCAGCUGGCUGCAACUGUUUAUUAAAAACACAGCACUGUGCAAACACGAAAGUGGACGUAUACGGUGUGACGCCUGCCCGGUGCCGGAAGGUUAAUUGAUGGGGUUAGCGGUAACGCGAAGCUCUUGAUCGAAGCCCCGGUAAACGGCGGCCGUAACUAUAACGGUCCUAAGGUAGCGAAAUUCCUUGUCGGGUAAGUUCCGACCUGCACGAAUGGCGUAAUGAUGGCCAGGCUGUCUCCACCCGAGACUCAGUGAAAUUGAACUCGCUGUGAAGAUGCAGUGUACCCGCGGCAAGACGGAAAGACCCCGUGAACCUUUACUAUAGCUUGACACUGAACAUUGAGCCUUGAUGUGUAGGAUAGGUGGGAGGCUUUGA